rnacentral:lncRNA from 1 species
AUGCCUGAUUACGAAAAUAUAUCCGUGAUGACUGACGAGAAGAAUCCCCAGGCUUCAGCAGAAAUGCCUCCCUCAUACCCAGCCCCUACAGCUCCCUCCACCCUGCAGCUGGCUAAAGGGAGAACCCGGGAGCAGAAACACAUGUUGAUGCUGUACUUCCUGAUGGCCAUUUGCUUUCUCAUGUGGAUUGUUCUCCUCUCACUCACAGUUGUGAACGGUGAGUCUGCCCCCAGCAAGCCCUGGGCACCAAGCGGGUGGGAGAUCACUUGUGGAAGACACCAGAUUCUAUGACCAUUCGAGGUCUGGAACACCUGUCUGAGAGUGAGACACCAUCUGUUUAGCUUAUCAGAGAGAAAGUGAAGAGGUCACUAGGGAUCUGUGGGGAGGAGCUUCCACAGCACAGCCAGCUGUAAAGGAGCUACCACAAAUUCAAUGAGUCAACAAUGUGAUGCUGUUGUGAAAAAGGCAAAUGUCAUUCUGGAGUAUUGUAUGUGAAACACACAGGAGCUAAUUGUUCUGCUGCACCCAGCUCUGGGGAAACCUCAGCUGGAGUCCUGUGUCCAAUUGUAUGUGCUGCACCUUAAGAAAGAUGUGAACAAAUUGGAGAGUCCAGAAGAAAGCAACAUAAUUGAUCGGGGAUUAGAAAACCUGCCUCUGAGGAGAGGUUGGAAGAAUUGCGCAUGUUUAGCCUAGAGAAGAGAAGGCUGGUGGGGCUGGAGGGCGGGGGACACACCUGAUGACAGUUUAUGGAUCUGUAGCAGGUUGUUGCAAUGAGGACAGGAAUCAGUUGUUCUCCAUGUUUCAGCCUUCAAGGAACUGGUGCAGUUUGCAGCAAGGGAGAUUUAGGCUGGAUAUUAGUUAAGCUCUGGAACAGAUGACUUAGAGAGUUGUGGAAUCCAUGUCAUUGGAGGUUUUUAAGAACAGGGUGGACAAACACCUAUUGGGAUGCUAGGUAUAUAUGCUCCUGUGAAUCAGAGAGUGAAAUCUGUGAAUCAGAGUGUAAAAAUCAGGGGGAAAGUACGAGACCCCUUGGGACAGGAUUCUGGAGCUACAGAGAUGAGGUGCAGGUGGCAGUUUUAACACAGAUGGUUAGGGUGGGAGGAAAGCCCCUUCCUCCCACAUAUAGCUCAAAGACCCCUCUCUGCUGAGGCCCUGAUCCAUGGGAUUCUGUCCAUUGAUAUCGUUGGGCUCUGGAUUAGGACUCAAGUCUGCCUGCAUGUGAUCCCAGCAGUUCAACAGAAUGCGAGAGCCUUCCGAGAUAGAAACAUACAGAUUAUGGGGUUUCCAAAGACCCCAGGUGAGAUCAGGGUCCUCUUGUGCCAGGCCCUGUCCCAAAGAGCUUAUGAUCUAAAUAGGCAAAGGAUGGGAAACUGAGGCACAGAAAGGGGAAGUGACUUGCCCAAGGUCACCCAGCAAGUCAGUGGCAGAGCCAGGAAUAGAUUCCAGGUCUCCCGAAGCCUGUGCUCUACCCCCUCAAUAGUGCCGCUUCCCCGGCUUUAUUGAGGAAUAGCCUGUUAAACUAUCUGUUCUCCAUAUUUCUGAAGACAUCACAAUUCAAAGUACUUUCCAAAAUAAUGGCUAAAGAUAUUGAUAAUACCAGAAUCAGACAUUCAAACAAACAAUCCACAGAUCAGUUAUGGCUCUUGUAUUAAAAUGAAACACGUGUCUCUCUGCACUGGAUAUGACUGGUGUGUUUGUGUUUCUUAUGUGGGUUGUGCUAGAUAGAUUGUGUCCUUGCUUGGAGGUGCUUGGGUUUUGUGAACCGAAUGAGAGGUCAGUACAUUAAUGUCACUUAGUGACCCUUACAUGGUAUUUUACAGAAUUGUUUUCUGUUUUGGAAUAAAUGAGUACAUGCACUGUGAUGGCUAAAUAUA